rnacentral:rRNA from 1 species
CCUACGGGAGGCAGCAGUGAGGAAUAUUGGUCAAUGGCCGGAAGGCUGAACCAGCCAUGCCGCGUGAAGGUCAGUGCCCUAUGGGCGUUAAACUUCUUUUGUGCGGGAGCAAUAAUGGUCACGUGUGGCCAGACGAGAGUACCGUACGAAUAAGCAUCGGCUAACUCCGUGCCAGCAGCCGCGGUAAUACGGGGGAUGCAAGCGUUAUCCGGAUUUACUGGGUGUAAAGGGAGCGUAGACGGUGCAGCAAGUCUGAUGUGAAAGGUCGGGGCCCAACCCCGGGACUGCAUUGGAAACUGUGUAACUGGAGUACAGGAGGGGCAGGCGGAAUUCCUGGUGUAGCGGUGAAAUGCGUAGAUAUCAGGAGGAACACCGGCGGCGAAGGCGGCCUGCUGGACUGAAACUGACGUUGAGGCUCGAAAGCGUGGGGAGCAAACAGGAUUAGAUACCCUGGUAGUC